AGUGAACGCUGGCGGUAGGCCUAACACAUGCAAGUCGAACGGCAGCACAGUAAGAGCUUGCUCUUACGGGUGGCGAGUGGCGGACGGGUGAGGAAUACAUCGGAAUCUACUUUUUCGUGGGGGAUAACGUAGGGAAACUUACGCUAAUACCGCAUACGACCUACGGGUGAAAGCAGGGGGUCUUCGGACCUUGCGCGAUUGAAUGAGCCGAUGUCGGAUUAGCUAGUUGGCGGGGUAAAGGCCCACCAAGGCGACGAUCCGUAGCUGGUCUGAGAGGAUGAUCAGCCACACUGGAACUGAGACACGGUCCAGACUCCUACGGGAGGCAGCAGUGGGGAAUAUUGGACAAUGGGCGCAAGCCUGAUCCAGCCAUACCGCGUGGGUGAAGAACGCCUUCGGGUUGUAAAGCCCUUUUGUUGGGAAAGAAAAGCAGCAGGUUAAUACCCCGCUGUUCUGACGGUACCCAAAGAAUAAGCACCGGCUAACUUCGUG
rnacentral:rRNA from 1 species